CACUGAAUAUCUGUGAAAUUCUCUGUGCCCCUUGGAGAAAUGAAGUUAUACAUAAAUGGAAUACAGUAUCCGCUGGGUGGAAUGCUGAGUGAGAUAUUUAGGAGGACGUUUCACAUUCUGGAGUAAGGAAAUGAAAGACAACAUGGCCAGACUGAGAUGGUCUUAUCAGAACCACCAGGCACCAUGUGAGGGACAACUGGACUCCAUUUCCCUGAAGACUGGAUGGGGAGUGGCAGUGUCGGGCUAAGAUGUCCACAAGCUUGCAUAGAGGAUCAAAGACAGGAGAUUCCGGUAACAGAGAGAAAAUGCAGAAACAUGUUCCAGGUUAUCAAGAUUAUGCACCAACAAACCAAAAACAUGCAUCCAGCCUGGUGACUCAGUUGAUUGAUGCGUCUGCUCUAUGCCGAUCUAUUCCAAGUACCAUGAAGAAAUAAAAAGGAAAUUAAAAAGUAAAUAAAAAUUCUGACCAAAACA
rnacentral:lncRNA from 12 species